rnacentral:rRNA from 1 species
GGGAAACCGAGUCUUAAUUGGGCGUUAAGUUGCAGGGUAUAGACCCGAAACCCGGUGAUCUAGCCAUGGGCAGGUUGAAGGUUGGGUAACACUAACUGGAGGACCGAACCGACUAAUGUUGAAAAAUUAGCGGAUGACCUGUGGCUGGGGGUGAAAGGCCAAUCAAACCGGGAGAUAGCUGGUUCUCCCCGAAAGCUAUUUAGGUAGCGCCUCGUGAAUUCAUCUCCGGGGGUAGAGCACUGUUUCGGCUAGGGGGCCAUCCCGGCUUACCAACCCGAUGCAAACUGCGAAUACCGGAGAAUGUUAUCACGGGAGACACACGGCGGGUGCUAACGUCCGUCGUGAAGAGGGAAACAACCCAGACCGCCAGCUAAGGUCCCAAAGUCAUGGUUAAGUGGGAAACGAUGUGGGAAGGCCCAGACAGCCAGGAUGUUGGCUUAGAAGCAGCCAUCAUUUAAAGAAAGCGUAAUAGCUCACUGGUCGAGUCGGCCUGCGCGGAAGAUGUAACGGGGCUAAACCAUGCACCGAAGCUGCGGCAGCGACACUGUGUGUUGUUGGGUAGGGGAGCGUUCUGUAAGCCUGUGAAGGUGUGUCGUGAGGCAUGCUGGAGGUAUCAGAAGUGCGAAUGCUGACAUAAGUAACGAUAAAGCGGGUGAAAAGCCCGCUCGCCGGAAGACCAAGGGUUCCUGUCCAACGUUAAUCGGGGCAGGGUGAGUCGACCCCUAAGGCGAGGCCGAAAGGCGUAGUCGAUGGGAAACGGGUUAAUAUUCCCGUACUUGGUGUUACUGCGAAGGGGGGACGGAGAAGGCUAUGUUGGCCGGGCGACGGUUGUCCCGGUUUAAGCGUGUAGGUGUGUGUUCCAGGUAAAUCCGGUUCACUUUAACACUGAGGCGUGACGACGAGGCACUACGGUGCUGAAGCAACAAAUGCCCUGCUUCCAGGAAAAGCCUCUAAGCAUCAGGUAACAUCAAAUCGUACCCCAAACCGACACAGGUGGUCAGGUAGAGAAUACCAAGGCGCUUGAGAGAACUCGGGUGAAGGAACUAGGCAAAAUGGUGCCGUAACUUCGGGAGAAGGCACGCUGACACGUAGGUGAAGUGAUUUACUCAUGGAGCUGAAGUCAGUCGAAGAUACCAGCUGGCUGCAACUGUUUAUUAAAAACACAGCACUGUGCAAACACGAAAGUGGACGUAUACGGUGUGACGCCUGCCCGGUGCCGGAAGGUUAAUUGAUGGGGUCAGCGCAAGCGAAGCUCCUGAUCGAAGCCCCGGUAAACGGCGGCCGUAACUAUAACGGUCCUAAGGUAGCGAAAUUCCUUGUCGGGUAAGUUCCGACCUGCACGAAUGGCGUAAUGAUGGCCAGGCUGUCUCCACCCGAGACUCAGUGAAAUUGAACUCGCUGUGAAGAUGCAGUGUACCCGCGGCAAGACGGAAAGACCCCGUGAACCUUUACUAUAGCUUGACACUGAACAUUGAGCCUUGAUGUGUAGGAUAGGUGGGAGGCUUUGAAGUGUGGACGCCAGUCUGCAUGGAGCCGACCUUGAAAUACCACCCUUUAAUGUUUGAUGUUCUAACGUGGACCCGUUACCCGGGUUGCGGACAGUGUCUGGUGGGUAGUUUGACUGGGGCGGUCUCCUCCUAAAGAGUAACGGAGGAGCACGAAGGUUGGCUAAUCCUGGUCGGACAUCAGGAGGUUAGUGCAAUGGCAUAAGCCAGCUUGACUGCGAGCGUGACGGCGCGAGCAGGUGCGAAAGCAGGUCAUAGUGAUCCGGUGGUUCUGAAUGGAAGGGCCAUCGCUCAACGGAUAAAAGGUACUCCGGGGAUAACAGGCUGAUACCGCCCAAGAGUUCAUAUCGACGGCGGUGUUUGGCACCUCGAUGUCGGCUCAUCACAUCCUGGGGCUGAAGUAGGUCCCAAGGGUAUGGCUGUUCGCCAUUUAAAGUGGUACGCGAGCUGGGUUUAGAACGUCGUGAGACAGUUCGGUCCCUAUCUGCCGUGGGCGCUGGAGAACUGAGGGGGGCUGCUCCUAGUACGAGAGGACCGGAGUGGACGCAUCACUGGUGUUCGGGUUGUCAUGCCAAUGGCACUGCCCGGUAGCUAAAUGCGGAAGAGAUAAGUGCUGAAAGCAUCUAAGCACGAAACUUGCCCCGA